AUUUAUAUGUUUUUACGUAAACAUGGCGUUGAAUUAUUACGGCACAUGUAGAUUGAUAUUACGAAUAAAAUUCAAGAUUGUUAUAUUAACAACAAGAGUCUAUACUACAAAAAUGUGAACCUACUUGCUCUGCAUUCAGUUAUGUGGUGGCCAAAAAGACCACACUUCUGACAUCUGCCUAUGGAAAUUGAAAAAAUUGUAACUCUUACAACAAAGUAUUUAACAAAUUAUGAUAUUAUGUACCAUACCAUGAAAUUUGUUUCUUCUAUCUGUAAUGUAACAAAGGUAAUACAAUGUUAAAAUAUUAUUAAUAAAGUAGGGUCAUAAAAAAUUUUAUAUUUCAAAACAUUUUAAACAUAUUCUGUAGAAAAAUAUUAAUGUCAUACGUUGGGAUGGACCACCAUCAGUCCCCACCACACUUGUAGUGUUUUCCUCUUCAUGUGCUGCAAUUGGAAAAUAUUGUCUAUUAAAAUAUAAGUUAUUACAA